UGAUGGCCAGGCUGUCUCCACCCGAGACUCAGUGAAAUUGAACUCGCUGUGAAGAUGCAGUGUACCCGCGGCAAGACGGAAAGACCCCGUGAACCUUUACUAUAGCUUGACACUGAACAUUGAGCCUUGAUGUGUAGGAUAGGUGGGAGGCUUUGAAGUGUGGACGCCAGUCUGCAUGGAGCCGACCUUGAAAUACCACCCUUUAAUGUUUGAUGUUCUAACGUGGACCCGUAAUCCGGGUUGCGGACAGUGUCUGGUGGGUAGUUUGACUGGGGCGGUCUCCUCCUAAAGAGUAACGGAGGAGCACGAAGGUUGGCUAAUCCUGGUCGGACAUCAGGAGGUUAGUGCAAUGGCAUAAGCCAGCUUGACUGCGAGCGUGACGGCGCGAGCAGGUGCGAAAGCAGGUCAUAGUGAUCCGGUGGUUCUGAAUGGAAGGGCCAUCGCUCAACGGAUAAAAGGUACUCCGGGGAUAACAGGCUGAUACCGCCCAAGAGUUCAUAUCGACGGCGGUGUUUGGCACCUCGAUGUCGGCUCAUCACAUCCUGGGGCUGAAGUAGGUCCCAAGGGUAUGGCUGUUCGCCAUUUAAAGUGGUACGCGAGCUGGGUUUAGAACGUCGUGAGACAGUUCGGUCCCUAUCUGCCGUGGGCGCUGGAGAACUGAGGGGGGCUGCUCCUAGUACGAGAGGACCGGAGUGGACGCAUCACUGGUGUUCGGGUUGUCAUGCCAAUGGCACUGCCCGGUAGCUAAAUGCGGAAGAGAUAAGUGCUGAAAGCAUCUAAGCACGAAACUUGCCCCGAGAUGAGUUCUCCCUGAGACUUAGAGUCUCCUGAAGGAACGUUGAAGACGACGACGUUGAUAGGCCGGGUGUGUAAGCGCAGCGAUGCGUUGAGCUAACCGGUACUAAUGAACCGUGAGGCUUAACCUU
rnacentral:rRNA from 1 species